UACAGGUGAUACUGGCCCAGAUGAUAAUCUUCAACCGAAGGAGGGACAAAGAAGUGUCUGCUAUGACUGUGGCAACAUUUCUCUCCCGGGACAAAUCUCCAAUUAACCCUGAUGUUUUAGAAGCAUUGACAGAGGUGGAAAAAAUGCUCUGCAAAUAUUUUGAACGCAUAGAAACCCGUGGGAAGAGGGACAGGAAGGCCAGGAUAUGAUACACAUUUUCGGGGAUCCGACUGCAUUCGUGCCUAUGCCAAAAAAUGUGGAGCCCAGCAACCUAAAGCA
ensembl:lncRNA